rnacentral:rRNA from 1 species
AACGAACGCUGGCGGCAGGCUUAACACAUGCAAGUCGAGCGCCCCGCAAGGGGAGCGGCAGACGGGUGAGUAACGCGUGGGAAUCUACCCAUCUCUACGGAAUAACGCAUGGAAACGUGUGCUAAUACCGUACACGUCCUUCGGGAGAAAGAUUUAUCGGGGAUGGAUGAGCCCGCGUUGAAUUAGCUAGUUGGUGGGGUAAAGGCCUACCAAGGCGACGAUCCAUAGCUGGUCUGAGAGGAUGAUCAGCCACACUGGGACUGAGACACGGCCCAGACUCCUACGGGAGGCAGCAGUGGGGAAUAUUGGACAAUGGGCGCAAGCCUGAUCCAGCCAUGCCGCGUGAGUGAUGAAGGCCCUAGGGUUGUAAAGCUCUUUCACCGGUGAAGAUAAUGACGGUAACCGGAGAAGAAGCCCCGGCUAACUUCGUGCCAGCAGCCGCCGUAAGAC